UUAAGUAGGAACAGCGGAAGGAUCAUU
rnacentral:rRNA from 1 species